GUAGGGAAUAUUGGACAAUGGGGGGAACCCUGAUCCAGCCAUUCCGCGUGGAGGAAGACUGCCCUCUGGGUUGUAAACUCCUUUUAUAUGGGAAGAACCGUCCUCAUUAAUGAGUGACCUGACGGUACCAUAGGAAUAAGCACCGGCUAACUCCGUGCCAGCAGCCGCGGUAAUACGGAGGGUGCAAGCGUUAUCCGGAUUCACUGGGUUUAUAGGGUGCGUAGGCGGAUAAAUAAGUCAGUGGUGAAAUCAACGGGCUCGACCUGUUAACUGUCAUUGAUACUGGGUAUCUUGAAUAUGAGAGAGGUAGGCGGAAUGUUGCAUGUAGCGGUGAAAUGCUUAGAUAUGCUACGGAACACCGAUUGCGAAGGCAGCUUACUAUUUCGUAAUUGACGCUGAGGCACGAAAGCGUGGGUAGCGAACAGGAUUAGAAACCCGGGUAGUCC
rnacentral:rRNA from 1 species